rnacentral:rRNA from 1 species
AUGAACGCUAGCUACAGGCUUAACACAUGCAAGUCGAGGGGCAUCAGGAAGAAAGCUUGCUUUCUUUGCUGGCGACCGGCGCACGGGUGAGUAACACGUAUCCAACCUGCCCUUUACUCGGGGAUAGCCUUUCGAAAGAAAGAUUAAUACCCGAUGGCAUAAUGAUUCCGCAUGGUUUCAUUAUUAAAGGAUUCCGGUAAAGGAUGGGGAUGCGUUCCAUUAGGUUGUUGGUGAGGUAACGGCUCACCAAGCCUUCGAUGGAUAGGGGUUCUGAGAGGAAGGUCCCCCACAUUGGAACUGAGACACGGUCCAAACUCCUACGGGAGGCAGCAGUGAGGAAUAUUGGUCAAUGGGCGCUAGCCUGAACCAGCCAAGUAGCGUGAAGGAUGAAGGCUCUAUGGGUCGUAAACUUCUUUUAUAUAAGAAUAAAGUGCAGUAUGUAUACUGUUUUGUAUGUAUUAUAUGAAUAAGGAUCGGCUAACUCCGUGCCAGCAGCCGCGGUAAUACGGAGGAUCCGAGCGUUAUCCGGAUUUAUUGGGUUUAAAGGGAGCGUAGGUGGACUGGUAAGUCAGUUGUGAAAGUUUGCGGCUCAACCGUAAAAUUGCAGUUGAUACUGUCAGUCUUGAGUACAGUAGAGGUGGGCGGAAUUCGUGGUGUAGCGGUGAAAUGCUUAGAUAUCACGAAGAACUCCGAUUGCGAAGGCAGCUCACUGGACUGCAACUGACACUGAUGCUCGAAAGUGUGGGUAUCAAACAGGAUUAGAUACCCUGGUAGUCCACACAGUAAACGAUGAAUACUCGCUGUUUGCGAUAUACAGUAAGCGGCCAAGCGAAAGCAUUAAGUAUUCCACCUGGGGAGUACGCCGGCAACGGUGAAACUCAAAGGAAUUGACGGGGGCCCGCACAAGCGGAGGAACAUGUGGUUUAAUUCGAUGAUACGCGAGGAACCUUACCCGGGCUUAAAUUGCAGUGGAAUGAUGUGGAAACAUGUCAGUGAGCAAUCACCGCUGUGAAGGUGUUGCAUGGUUGUCGUCAGCUCGUGCCGUGAGGUGUCGGCUUAAGUGCCAUAACGAGCGCAACCCUUAUCUUUAGUUACUAACAGGUCAUGCUGAGGACUCUAGAGAGACUGCCGUCGUAAGAUGUGAGGAAGGUGGGGAUGACGUCAAAUCAGCACGGCCCUUACGUCCGGGGCUACACACGUGUUACAAUGGGGGGUACAGAAGGCAGCUAGCGGGUGACCGUAUGCUAAUCCCAAAAUCCUCUCUCAGUUCGGAUCGAAGUCUGCAACCCGACUUCGUGAAGCUGGAUUCGCUAGUAAUCGCGCAUCAGCCACGGCGCGGUGAAUACGUUCCCGGGCCUUGUACACACCGCCCGUCAAGCCAUGGGAGCCGGGGGUACCUGAAGUACGUAACCGCAAGGAUCGUCCUAGGGUAAAACUGGUGACUGGGGCU